rnacentral:rRNA from 1 species
AGAGACCUCGAGCGUUAUCCGGAUUUAUUGGGCGUAGAGGGUCCGUAGGGGGCUAGGUAAGCCAAAUGUAAAAUCCACCAGCUCAACUGGUGCUUGGCAUUGGAACUGCCUGGAUAGAGCACGUCAGAGGUCAUUGGAACUCAUGGUGUAGGGGUAAAAUCCGUUGAUAUCAUGGGGAACACCAAAGGCGAAGGCAUUUGACUGGGGCGUUGCUGACCCUGAGGGACGAAAGCUAGGGUAGCGAAUGGGAUUAGAUACCCCAGUAGUCCUAGCUGUAAACGAUGAGUGCUAGAUAUUGGAAGAUUCGACCCUUCCAGUGUCGCAGCUAACGCGUUAAGCACUCCGCCUGGGAAGUACGGCCGCAAGGCUA